rnacentral:lncRNA from 1 species
AUAGUAGAAAAUUCAAACUUACCUGCAAGAGGCUAGUUUUCUCUUAAACUAAAGAAAGGAGGGUCUUAAUAGUGAAUGACAUUUCCUUGUAAUUUAAAGAAAAUGAAAAAUACACAGAGAGGCCUUAAUGGUAAAUACUAACCCAGUGAAGGCACAUCUUAGUGUGGCCUAGGGACACUGGUUUCUCAUCAGUUCACCUGCAGGGAUAGAAGUAAAGAACCAGAGCGUCAGUAACCACACCAGCCUGAGACUGCCAUAUGUUAGUCUCAGCUGUGGGUGGUAUCAGAUCGCAUUUAUUUCUUAGUCAAACAUUUGACAGUAUACAAUAUGAAGAGAAUGGAACUAAUAAAUUUUAGGCAUUAUUACCAGAAUAAUGCUCAUUGCUGUAUAUAUAAUCUUUCGUCUUUGACAUCAGUGAAAAAACUGCAGAUUGUUUACUAAUGUGAAAGCCAUAAAUUUUAGUAAUUUAAGAAAAAAUUUAGCCAUCUUGUGGAAGUUAUUACACCCUUCACAGAGAAUAUGGUGCCCAGUGUUAAACACAGAACAAAAAAGGUGAAUCUGGAGGAGUGUGUGCAGCUCAGGAGCACAUCUGUUAGGCUGUUGAUCCCAGAUUUACCACAGGGUGUCAACCCCCAAGUGCCCUCAGAUUGCAGGAACCCUACUAAUCCCAGCAUCUAAAGUACGGAGGAAUCAAGUGCCAUGUACCUUUUGUGAGGGGAAACGUUUGACAAAAAGCAAAGGAUUUUUCCACGUUUCCAAUCACAAAAGAGAUCAGAAACACUUCUUUGACUUGGACUUGUUAACAGCUUGUGUCAGUGUCUGUGUCACAUUUCAUGUGAUUAUUAGGCGUUAAAACAACCUCCUAAAUGCCUGAACAUUUUUAUAGCGGUGCUGUUGUCUGGUGAGGAUGCUUCCUUGUUUCAGGAGUGUGUCAGCUGAUGAACAGGAUAGGAAAAGCCUAGUUGUGAUCAUAGGAAUAAUUCUCAAUCCAAGGAGAGUAUGCUUUCUUCAGAAUGUUGUUCAUGAUCAGAAGGAAUCUUGAGAUUUGGGUUUUUUUAAGAUUCAAGAAAGAUUAUCUGCCCCAGUGUUAUUGAUGAGAAUACUGAAGCCCAGAGAAAAGAAGGUAGUUCCCCGUGUCUCAGACCUCGAUCAGCACCCUUUCCUUGCUCUCUGCUGUCUCCCUGCUUUUGCUUGCUGUACGUUUUAAAAGCCGCUCCAAACAGCAGCCCAGAUGAUUCUUGUAAGCUUGUCAGUUAUUCUGGUUUAAAAUGUAAUUUAUUCUACAUUUUUUUCCAAAGCAUUAUAUUUUACUUUUUUUUUCCUGUAAUACUUUGUUAUUCUUCAAUUUUGUUGCCAUGAUUCCUUGGCACCUGCAAAUUCUGGAAAACAAUUACUCUUUAUUCUUAAUAAACAAUGUUUGUUAACAAUUUAUAGCCUUGACACUAGACAGAAAGAGCUUUCACUGGUUUGCUUUUGUGAUCUUUUCUGAAUCUAAAGGAAACAGUGUACAAUCUAGAAAUUAAAACACGUGUGUGUGUGCGCUCUUUGUUGAGUUUGGAGAAUGAUUUGAGUUGUGAGCUAAAUAAUAUGACAGGUUGAUCUUGGAUAUCUUUUUUUAGCUUUCUGUAAAACCAGUUGUCCAUGUUUUAUAUACCUCUACUAAUAACAAACUCAUAAUUCUGAAUGUGCUUUUUUUUAAAGCAGCUUUUACUUAUAUUUCUGUGAUUGACGUAAUGACUACAAAAGCCCGAGAAACUAAUGACUG